GCCAGUCCUAAGGAGUGGGGACGGACUGGCGAGUGCCCUGCGUCCCCCACCUGGUGCCCCCCAGGAGACGGAGAAGGGGGCCAAGGUCUCCCGCUGUUCCCCAGAUUUGACUCACGAUUCCAAUCCAGACGCUGGUGGCUCCUUCACUGGCCGGCGCUCUGGGUCAUAGUUGUCGAAGAGAUGGUGGUAAAGACGCAGCUCCUCGUUCUUCGCCUCACCUCCACCUGGGGUUGGGGUCAAGUGACCCCGAGCCUGCUUCUCCGUCUCUCGUCUUUGCCCCGUCAGUGGCAAAGGGGGCGUCAGUGCCUCCGUGCGUGGGCCCGACCCCUGCCCCUACCGAGGAGCUGCAAGACGAGGAGCGCGCCCAGCAGAGCCCCUGCCAUCCCGCUGUCUGCUCCAGGGCCAGAGACGUCUUGGCUGCUCCCACAGGCAGCUGCUCCGUCCCGGCAUCCUUUGCCUGAUGAUUGGCUCGCAGACCCGACCCUCUUAUGACCGGAGCCAGCCAGGUGCGGGUCCUUGAAGAGCACCUGGAACCACAAGCCUGGCAGUGGGGGAUGGGGUAGCCCUGCUCUGAACAUGUGCUGGUGUCCCUCGAGUAAGCCGCCCUGUGCAGGUGACAUCCCUUGCCUCCUGUCACUCACGUGGGACGCUUUAUCCCCAACCCAGCCAAGGUCACAGCAAUGUAGUUUCUACCGGCAGAGUCUGGCAAAGUCUCCACAAAGACCUGGUAGCAAGACCGGCAGCCGCCGGGGAUUACCCGGCAGGAAAGGACCACCUGGCGAAGCAGACCCCGCGCCAGUAGGGCCCGCCUCCUCCCACAACCUAAGUCUCAGGUGGGCCCACCCGCAGCCCCUCCCGGCACCUGCCGCACACGCCCGUGUCUCCUGGCCUCCCUGCUGCCAUCUCGUGGCCACACGUGGUAAUACCGCCUUCCCGCCCCAAGCACACCUGAACGGAUUUUUUAAAAUCUUAAAGCCUCCUUGGACCACCCGAAUUGAUCACCUGAGGUGCUUGCUUAAAAUCCCUAUUCCUAGGUUCCAACCCCCAAGAACUCUGAGUUAAGAGGAUGCCAGGGAUGGGGUGCCAGGAAUCUGGGUUCUCCUUAAGAAGCUUUCUGUGUUUGCUCCUGCGGUGGGAGGUCCCGGACUCAGCACUUUCUGUGCCUUUGCCCAUCGUGUCCUCACACGAAUCUGGGAGGCAGUUACCGUUCCCAAAAGUACGAAAGAGGACCCUGGUCAGGUCCAUGGCCACGCAAGCACGUGGGCAGUGAAGCACGAGAUUCAGCGAUCAGCUUUACUGAUCACCUGACCUGGGUUCCUUUUACACUUUACAAAACACUCAUGUCCAUCCUUUUGGGGUGUCCUUCCUCUACCUGUGAGGCCCCUCGUCCUCAUCCCCGGGUUACAAGCAAGGACCCCGAAGGCCAGAGGGUCAACGCAGCUUGUCCACGUCCCAGGAGUCCUGGAAGCCGCUCCCCCACAGCUAACCCGCUCCUCCAGUCCACACUCUGCCCUGCAGCCCAGCUGAGCGGAUCCCUUGGGCCCAGCUCAUCUCCGUGCCCGUGGCUGAUGGGGGAACUGGCUCUGAUCCGUGCUGUGGCCCAUUCCGUGGUUCCUGGGUCAGGGCCCGGGCCAAGGGUUCUGGCAAAUGCAGGGAUUUAUCAGACAUGAAUGGGCCCUCCAAGGUCCCUGCCCUGGCCCAGUCGCUGGGAUUCUAGAGCUGAAUAAACCCCGUGGCCUCCAGCAGGAGGGAGCGGCCCUCAGUGACAGCCGCGCGGUCAGAGGGGAGCUGGGGCACGGUGUCGCGGGGCUUCCCUGUGUUACAAGAAACAGCUGCACAGCCCAGGUGUCCUGUGGGCUUCCACGAGGACUGGGACACAUGGGAUCCGCGUCGGAGGCCAAGGCGGCUCCCGGGACCGCCACUCCCACCUUUCCCACCCUGGCUCCGCGCUGUGCUCCUCUGGCUCCUGGCCAGCCUGCUUUGCUCUCUCCUGUGUUUGCUCGGGAUGACAACUGCCAAGCUUCCUGCUCGGUGCGUGGGGUCAGGCACCUGACUCAGGCUUUGUGUUUCUGUCAUGAACAGCCCACAGAACUGGCAGUUUUGUUCCUGGGGACGCCUUGGCUUCCAAGCUGGACCCAAAGAUCUCUGCCUAAGAGGCAGCUACUCCCUUUGCCGGCUUGGAGCAGUGGCCGCCCCCCUCUGUGGCCCUGCUGGAUUCGGAGCCAUGGGUCCCCUCACAGUUCAGAUACCCCAAGCCGGUCUGAUGAGGCCCCCUCUGCACACAACAGAAAGAGCUCCCCUUCCUCCUGUCAACAGGGAGAGAGGGUUCAGCUGAGCCAGGACGGUGUCUAGCCGACCCCGGUUCCUAGACCGUCCCCCUUGCUAGCACCCGCCUUCUCUGAUCGCCGAGACCUUGCCGGUUUACUGUGUUCGGGGCACAAAGCCCAGAGCCUCGCACAUCAGAGGCGCUCAGAAAACACUGAACAGAUAAGUCAGCACAAACGGAGGAAUGUCUUCCCAGCGCUGUCCCUUCUUCUCCACCAGGGGACCCCAAAGGACCUACCAGGUACCUAGCGACACCCACCCUCUGGCCAGGGUUGAUGGGUCCAGAGGAGGACACUGGCUCAAGCCCAGGCCGAGGAAUGUCCUUCCCUGACAAUUGUCUGGCAACAACUCAGGAAGUGGGGUGCGCUCUCCUGGGGGCACAGGACGGCUCUUACACGUGGGGGCACAGGGCAGCUGGUCGCUACGCAGGGAGAGAGAACGCACUGGGGACACGCAGAUGACAGAGGGCCUUGGGCCUCCCCACCCCGGCCGGGCUGCGCUCGCGUCCCCUGCAGGCUGUUGUCCAGCACUUGCUUUGAACGAGGUGCCGCUGCAUCCCUCCAAUAAAUCCCCCAUUGACUUAAACAUAGUAGCAUUAAGAAAAGUAAACUAGUAUAAAGAAAACAAAAUGUCCCGUAACACAAUACCCAGGAAGAUGCGUCUGACAAUAAAAAGAUCAAUGCAUGCUGUCCUUUAGAUGUAGGGAUGGCAGACAUGCUACACGGAUCCUCCCUCUCCCUCCACCUCGGGCCUGGAGACCCCUCCCCAGGCUGCCUGGCCAGCAGUGCCCUCCAUCCGCCCCCAUCAGCACCGGCCAGACCUGCCCAGGCAGCGGCUUCCCUGCCAUCCCCAGGGCUUAGCGGGCAGCUUGGCAGACGGCAGAUCUUGAAUAGAAGUAGAGAAUGCAGGGGCGCCUGGGUGGCACAGCGGUUAAGCGUCUGCCUUCGGCUCAGGGCGUGAUCCCGGCGUUGUGGGAUCGAGCCCCACAUCAGGCUCCUCCGCUAUGAGCCUGCUUCUUCCUCUCCCACUCCCCCUGCUUGUGUUCCCUCU